rnacentral:lncRNA from 1 species
UUUCGAAGAACCCAAAAAAAUGAGAAAGACUUCAAAAAGUUACCGAGCUAAUAAAAAAAGUCAAGGAUCUGACUCGAACAACUAUGGAUGGUUGAAAAGAGACCAUGGAUAGAAGUUGAUCAAGGUCUGGACUAUAUCUCUUUGAGAUUUUUCCCUGAAAUCACGAAAACAGGCAACCAGUAGACAUAUGAGACUAGUAUACAUCUCAAAUAUCCAUGGGAGUCCAUGGAUUGGGUGAGGAUCAAAGUGGAAUAGGGCUAGUUUGGGUAGCGGUGGCUAGGGUUAGAUUUAUGUUUCAAAGCGAGUUUGAGAGGAGAAGGGAUUCAAGGACAGCGGACCGUGACAAAUGAAUUAGGUUAGGGCUCGCUUUGGGUUAAAAAUGGUAAGGGGAAAAAGGGACCGUUGAUCUGAAUGAUCAACGGUCAUGAUCAAAUGGGUAGGUAGGGAUCUGGUUUGGGAAUUGGGUUAGGGUUAGAUUUAAAGUGGAAUAGGCUGGGGAAUUGGGUUAAGGUCAGAAAAAAAAAUUUAAAAAUAUAGGAUCCAAUUUUAUGAAUAUAAAACCUAAUUAAACCUUAAAAAGGACUAAU